rnacentral:rRNA from 1 species
AUUUUAACUAAGACACACAAGUCUAAGUAAUUAUAUAUCUAAUUGACCCAAAAAUUCUUUGA